UUUAUGGAGAGUUUGAUCCUGGCUCAGGAUGAACGCUGGCGGCGUGCCUAAUACAUGCAAGUCGAGCGAACAGAUAAGGAGCUUGCUCCUUUGAUGUUAGCGGCGGACGGGUGAGUAACACGUGGGUAACCUACCUAUAAGACUGGAAUAACUCCGGGAAACCGGGGCUAAUGCCGGAUAACAUUUAGAACCGCAUGGUUCUAAAGUGAAAGAUGGUUUUGCUAUCACUUAUAGAUGGACCCGCGCCGUAUUAGCUAGUUGGUAAGGUAAUGGCUUACCAAGGCAACGAUACGUAGCCGACCUGAGAGGGUGAUCGGCCACACUGGAACUGAGACACGGUCCAGACUCCU
rnacentral:rRNA from 1 species